rnacentral:rRNA from 1 species
UACGAAGGGGGCUAGCGUUGCUCGGAAUCACUGGGCGUAAAGGGCGCGUAGGCGGAUCUUUAAGUCGGGGGUGAAAGCCCAGGGCUCAACCCUGGAAUUGCCUUCGAUACUGGAGAUCUUGAGACCGGAAGAGGUAAGUGGAACUGCGAGUGUAGAGGUGAAUUCGUAGAUAUUCGCAAGAACACCAGUGGCGAAGGCGGCUUACUGGUCCG